rnacentral:rRNA from 1 species
GUGAACACGGAGCUUGCUCUGUGGGAUCAGUGGCGAACGGGUGAGUAACACGUGAGCAACCUGCCCCUGACUCUGGGAUAAGCGCUGGAAACGGCGUCUAAUACUGGAUAUGUGACGUGACCGCAUGGUCUGCGUCUGGAAAGAAUUUCGGUUGGGGAUGGGCUCGCGGCCUAUCAGCUUGUUGGUGAGGUAAUGGCUCACCAAGGCGUCGACGGGUAGCCGGCCUGAGAGGGUGACCGGCCACACUGGGACUGAGACACGGCCCAGACUCCUACGGGAGGCAGCAGUGGGGAAUAUUGCACAAUGGGCGCAAGCCUGAUGCAGCAACGCCGCGUGAGGGACGACGGCCUUCGGGUUGUAAACCUCUUUUAGCAGGGAAGAAGCGAAAGUGACGGUACCUGCAGAAAAAGCGCCGGCUAACUACGUGCCAGCAGCCGCGGUAAUACGUAGGGCGCAAGCGUUAUCCGGAAUUAUUGGGCGUAAAGAGCUCGUAGGCGGUUUGUCGCGUCUGCUGUGAAAUCCGGAGGCUCAACCUCCGGCCUGCAGUGGGUACGGGCAGACUAGAGUGCGGUAGGGGAGAUUGGAAUUCCUGGUGUAGCGGUGGAAUGCGCAGAUAUCAGGAGGAACACCGAUGGCGAAGGCAGAUCUCUGGGCCGUAACUGACGCUGAGGAGCGAAAGGGUGGGGAGCAAACAGGCUUAGAUACCCUGGUAGUCCACCCCGUAAACGUUGGGAACUAGUUGUGGGGUCCAUUCCACGGAUUCCGUGACGCAGCUAACGCAUUAAGUUCCCCGCCUGGGGAGUACGGCCGCAAGGCUAAAACUCAAAGGAAUUGACGGGG